UCGUGGACCCCGGAGGGUCCGAACUGUCUCAGCGGAGAAAGGGGACAUAGUGUGCUGGCGGGCGCUGGCUGUUGGCGUUAGAGCUCCGGCUGUGGCUCAGUCUGGGGCGCGGUUCUUGCCAACACACCAUGUCCAGAGACAGCUGACAAAAAAACUAAAUUGAAACCAGCUCUGGAUGGGAUAACAACACAGGGUCAUACUUACUUUACGGCAGGCACGUUAUUCGCCUUCUUACUCGCACUUACCGCUAUGGAUUCGCUCUUCAGGGGGCACUGAGACAUCCUACAGUGCCCUGGACGGCCCACCCCAACCAUGGUAUCCGUUGUCCAACAGUUUUGGAUACCCCAGAAUCGUCUCCCCGUUCCCCCUCUACAGCAUGGUGCACUACCCCUUCCUUACCUUAAUGAUCUACUCUUCCAUAGCGAAAUGAGAAUACUAAGCCAAGUGGAAUUUCAUUUCUACGUUAUAAAAGAAAAGUGCCUUUGUUGCGUCUGUCAGAUCGCCGGACUGGAAUGCUUCGACGACGGCUCCCCUGGAUAGCAAGACAAUUUGGUAGCGGAGGUGCCCUGGAUCUCCCUUUUUAUGUUCUUGCCAACCUGCAGGGACAACAUUAAACGACCAAAGGGUCUUUUAUUUAAAGUGUAUUCCUAGUGCCCUAGAAUGAGCUCACCCUACUUCCUAGGUUGUAUCGUCCGUUCAAUCACCGGACUGCAGAUAUGAAACCCAAUGUCUACCCUGUUUGCUGCCUAAGUUAUUCUGUUUUCUUUUUUUUUUUAUUUCUUAUAUUUUUAUUCCAGGAUGUGUGUCAAGCUAAGUUUCUCUGUGUAUCGUUCUAAGUAUUGAACAUAUAAAAAGGAGCAUACAUCGGCCUACCUUGGCACCUACGGGCUGCUGGUGCAAAAUUCCCUCGGGGACACUGGAGCAGAUGGCGGCGGUGGAACCAAUGAUGAAGCUGGAGAUGCUGAUGAGAUGAUGAUGUUGUUGAGGAUGGAAAUGUUGACGUUGCCGUGGAUGACGAUGGUUAAAAUUGCAGUAGAGGUGGGUAUUUAUUAUUUGACAAAAAGUUUUUGUUGUUCUGUUUAGUCUUUGCUAUGUUUUAUUCGUGGCUCAAAUUAACGUUCUUUUUCAAAGCUUUUUAUAUUUCACAGGAUCUUUUUUCCUUAGCAUUAAUUAGCACUAAUAAGUUUAUUUAGCUUUAAGUUGAUCUAAAGUAACUUCAGCUUUUUUACUACAAAAGCUAGUCUUUAUUCCUUUCACAAAAAAAAGGAACAUUUAUUUGCUUUUAAAUAAAAAACUUUAUGCCUUUGGCAUCACAUA